UACGUAGGGGGCAAGCGUUAUCCGGAUUUACUGGGUGUAAAGGGAGCGUAGGUGGUUCGUUAAGUCAGGUGUGAAAGCCCGGGGCUCAACCCCGGGAUUGCACUUGAAACUAUCGAACUAGAGUGUAGGAGAGGUAAGUGGAAUUCCUAGUGUAGCGGUGAAAUGCGUAGAUAUUAGGAGGAACACCAGUGGCGAAGGCGACUUACUGGACUAUAACUGACACUGAGGCUCGAAAGCGUGGGGAGCAAACAGG
rnacentral:rRNA from 1 species